UAGGGAAUCUUCGGCAAUGGGGGGAACCCUGACCGAGCAACGCCGCGUGAGUGAAGAAGGUUUUCGGAUCGUAAAGCUCUGUUGUUAAGGAAGAACGAGUGUGAGAAUGGAAAGUUCAUGCUGUGACGGUACUUAACCAGAAAGGGACGGCUAACUACGUGCCAGCAGCCGCGGUAAUACGUAGGUCCCGAGCGUUGUCCGGAUUUAUUGGGCGUAAAGCGAGCGCAGGCGGUUAGAAAAGUCUGAAGUGAAAGGCAGUGGCUCAACAAUUGUAGGCUUUGGAAACUGUUUAACUUGAGUGCAGAAGGGGGGAGUGGAAUUCCAUGUGUAGCGGUGAAAUGCGUAGAUAUAUGGAGGAACACCGGUGGCGAAAGCGGCUCUCUGGUCUGUAACUGACGCUGAGGCUCGAAAGCGUGGGGAGCGAACAGG
rnacentral:rRNA from 1 species